CGGAUUAGUGGCGAACGGGUGAGUAACACGUGAGUAACCUGCCCUUGACUCUGGGAUAAGCGUUGGAAACGACGUCUAAUACCGGAUACGAACCGCGAAGGCAUCUUCAGUGGUUGGAAAGAAUUUUGGUCAAGGAUGGACUCGCGGCCUAUCAGGUAGUUGGUGAGGUAAUGGCUCACCAAGCCUACGACGGGUAGCCGGCCUGAGAGGGUGACCGGCCACACUGGGACUGAGACACGGCCCAGACUCCUACGGGAGGCAGCAGUGGGGAAUAUUGCACAAUGGGCGAAAGCCUGAUGCAGCAACGCCGCGUGAGGGACGACGGCCUUCGGGUUGUAAACCUCUUUUAGCAGGGAAGAAGCGAAAGUGACGGUACCUGCAGAAAAAGCACCGGCUAACUACGUGCCAGCAGCCGCGGUAAUACGUAGGGUGCAAGCGUUGUCCGGAAUUAUUGGGCGUAAAGAGCUCGUAGGCGGUUUGUCGCGUCUGCUGUGAAAACUGGAGGCUCAACCUCCAGCCUGCAGUGGGUACGGGCAGACUAGAGUGCGGUAGGGGAGAUUGGAAUUCCUGGUGUAGCGGUGGAAUGCGCAGAUAUCAGGAGGAACACCGAUGGCGAAGGCAGAUCUCUGGGCCGUAACUGACGCUGAGGAGCGAAAGGGUGGGGAGCAAACAGGCUUAGAUACCCUGGUAGUCCACCCCGUAAACGUUGGGAACUAGAUGUGGGGACCAUUCCACGGUCUCCGUGUCGCAGCUAACGCAUUAAGUUCCCCGCCUGGGGAGUACGGCCGCAAGGCUAAAACUCAAAGGAAUUGACGGGGGCCCGCACAAGCGGCGGAGCAUGCGGAUUAAUUCGAUGCAACGCGAAGAACCUUACCAAGGCUUGACAUAUACGAGAACGCACGAGAGAUCGUGCACUCUUUGGACACUCGUAUACAGGUGGUGCAUGGUUGUCGUCAGCUCGUGUCGUGAGAUGUUGGGUUAAGUCCCGCAACGAGCGCAACCCUCGUUCUAUGUUGCCAGCACGUAAUGGUGGGAACUCAUGGGAUACUGCCGGGGUCAACUCGGAGGAAGGUGGGGACGACGUCAAAUCAUCAUGCCCCUUAUGUCUUGGGCUUCACGCAUGCUACAAUGGCCAGUACAAAGGGCUGCAAUACCGUAAGGUGGAGCGAAUCCCAAAAAGCUGGUCCCAGUUCGGAUUGAGGUCUGCAACUCGACCUCAUGAAGUCGGAGUCGCUAGUAAUCGCAGAUCAGCAACGCUGCGGUGAAUACGUUCCCGGGCCUUGUACACACCGCCCGUCAAGUCAUGAAAGUCGGUAACACCCGAAGC
rnacentral:rRNA from 1 species